CAAUAGCGUAUAUUAAAGUUGUUGCGGUAAAAAAGCUCGUAGUUGGAUUUCUACCGAAGAUAGCCGGUCGGGUCUUCGACCUUGUAUCUGGUUUUGUCUUUGGUAUCCUCAUAGGGAACGUUUCUGCGCUUUAUUGCGUGGUGCGGUAUCUAUGACUUUUACUUUGAGGAAAUUAGAGUGUUCACGGCAGGCAAACGCCUUGGAUAUAUUAGCAUGGAAUAAUAACAUAGGAUCUUCGUCCUAUUUUGUUGGUUUCUAGGGCUAAGAUAAUGAUUAAUAGGGAUAAUUGGGGGCAUCUGUAUCAACGCGUCAGAGGUGGAAUUCUUGGAUUGCGUUGCGACAAACUACUGCGAAAGCAUUUGCCAAGGAUGUUUUCAUUGA
rnacentral:rRNA from 1 species